CUAAUCGAAGCAAAUAAUGGUUCCCGCUGAAAAGCGGGAUUAAAAGGGAACUGUGUGUAAAUCACAGGCUGUCCCGCAACUGUAAGCUUCCGGCAGCGUAAUGCUGCAACUGGUAAAUAAUAUGCCACUGUUCCUGACAGGAAUGGGAAGGCGUUUACCAGCGGAGCAAGCCAGGAGACCUGCCUUUAUUUCACUUUGACA
rnacentral:ncRNA from 1 species